GGAGCAUGCACCAAUAAAAAGAGUAGCUUCAUUUAAAAAGUGUGUCAAGGAAUUGCAUGGAAUAAUCUAUAAGAAAUUGAAAGAGCACAAGGCAACUUUUAAUCCAGAUGCUACUCCACGUGACCUAAUGGACCAGCUGCUUUUAGCACAAAAAGAGUCUGAAGAGGAGGAAGGUGAAGAUACUAAGAACUUGCUGACAGACACACAUGUUGUGCAGACUGUAUCAGAUGUGUUUUUUGCUGGAACAGAAACCUCCUCAGAAACCCUGAAAUGGACACUUAUGUAUACAGCAGCUUAUCCAGAUGUUCAGGAACAGAUGCACAAUGAAAUAUUGGAUGUUUUAGGUGAAUGG